ACCUAGGAGGGUAGAAGGAAAAGUCUUUUCCUUUGCUACCCUAUGUUACAGAUGAGGACACUGAGGCUCAGAGAGGGGAAGCGACCUACCCAAGGUCACACAGCCAGCACAAGGUAGAGCUGGGAUUCAAACCCAGCUCUUAAUGGGAUUCGAACUGGCUCUUCUGUUAUACUUUCACUCCUGAUGCUAGCUUUGGUGUGAACCAAACCAGAACCCAUCAAGUGUUUAGCAUAGCACUAGGCAAACAGUGCUGAGACUGAGGCUCUGAGACUUGAAGGAGUUUGCGGACAUGAGGUGAUCUGUAGGCAUGAGGAUAAAGGAGGGCUGUGAACCGCCACUCAGGAACACAGGAGCACAUCCUUGUGCAGUUAUGGAGGCUGAGACGUCCAUGUCAAGGAGCUGCAUCUGGUGAGAUCCUUCUUGCUGCUGGCGACUCUCUGCAGAGCCCCAGUGUGGUGCAGGACAUCAUCAGCUGGUGAAGAAGCUGAGUGCUCACACGCUAGCACAGCCCUCUCUUCCUUUUCUUAUAAAGCUGCCAGUUCCUCUCCCAUGAUCGCUUAAUGGAUCAAUUAAUGGGUUAAUCUAUUAACCCAUUAAUUCACUAAUCCAUGACUGGAUUAACCCAUUCUUAAGGGCAGAACCCUCAUGACCCAGUCACCUUGUAAGGGCCCCACCUCCUAGUACAGCCACAUUGGGGAUUAAAUUUCAACAUGAGUUUUGAAGAGACAAAUACUCAAACCAUAGCAACA